UCCGUAGGGGGCAAGCGUUGUCCGGAAUCAUUGGGCGUAAAGAGCGCGUAGGCGGUCCGGUAAGUCCGCUCUGAAAGUCCGGGGCUCAACCCCGGGAGGCGGGCGGAUACUGUCGGGCUAGAGUCCGGAAGAGGCGAGUGGAAUUCCUGGUGUAGCGGUGAAAUGCGCAGAUAUCAGGAUGAACACCAAUGGCGAAGGCAGCUCGCUGGGACGGUACUGACGCUGAGGAGCGAAAGCGUGGGGAGCGAACAGG
rnacentral:rRNA from 1 species